CCUACGGGGAGCAGCAGUGAGGAAUAUUGGUCAAUGGACGAGAGUCUGAACCAGCCAAGUAGCGUGAAGGAUGACUGCCCUAUGGGUUGUAAACUUCUUUUAUAUGGGAAUAAAAUGUUCCACGUGUGGGAUUUUGUAUGUACCUUAUGAAUAAGGAUCGGCUAACUCCGUGCCAGCAGCCGCGGUAAUACGGAGGAUCCGAGCGUUAUCCGGAUUUAUUGGGUUUAAAGGGAGCGUAGGUGGCUUGUUAAGUCAGUUGUGAAAGUUUGCGGCUCAACCGUAAAAUUGCAGUUGAAACUGGCAGUCGUGAGUACAGUAGAGGUGGGCGGAAGUCGUGGUGUAGCGGUGAAAUGCUUAGAUAUCACGAAGAACUCCGAUUGCGAAGGCAGCUCACUGGACUGCAACUGACACUGAGGCUCGAAAGUGUGGGUAUCAAACAGGAUUAGAUACCCUUGUAGUC
rnacentral:rRNA from 1 species